CAAUUAUAAGUUGUCUUAAGACAUUCUUGUGGAGUCUAGAAUGUUUAUAUUUGAAAGUGAAUAUUCAGGGAAUAACAAAUCUGAAUGAUAUGAUUGUUCUGAUUACUGAGAUUGUUACACCCAUACAAUCACAAGAUCAGUGAUCACACACAGGUUUAUAAAUGCCAGAAAUGGUGCUCAGUUUGGGCUAGACCUUUGGAAUACUAACUGCUUUGUAAAAGGAGGAUUUGGGCCAAAUACCAAGACCAAAGCCGAACUUCUCUGUAUUCCUUUUUCAUUAAAAGAGAGAGUCUGUGUCAAUAUACCUAUCAC
rnacentral:lncRNA from 1 species